rnacentral:rRNA from 1 species
UACGUAGGGGUCGAGCGUUGUCCGGAGUUACUGGGCGUAAAGCGCGCGCAGGUGGCUCAUUACGCCCGGCGUGAAAGCCCCCGGCCUAACCGGGGAAGGUCGUCGGGUACGGGUGAGCUUGAGGGUAUCAGGGGCUGGUGGAAUUCCCGGUGUAGUGGUGAAAUGCGUAGAGAUCGGGAGGAACACCCGUGGCGAAGGCGGCCAGCUGGGAUACACCUGACACUGAGGCGCGAAGGCGUGGGGAGCGAACGGG